rnacentral:piRNA from 1 species
UGAGGUGACAGAGCUUUUCAGCACCAGGGC